UUUUUUUCUUUUUCUCUUUUUCCCAUGUGCCUUCCCUACCCCUAAAUCUCUGCACCAAAGCUCAUUGCAGGCAAUGUUGGAAAAUAACUGCAUUUGAAAGAAAAAGAAAAUGGCUGUCAUGCUCUUAACUUUGGGCCAGCUUGAGGGGCCACAGGUUGGUCAACAUGACUGAUCCUUGAUUUGGUUUUCCUGGUCUGGACUGCCUGGGUGGUGACAGUGCUGUGGUUGGCCAAAGACAGGACAGAGCUAGUCCCUAUCUGGACUGCCUUAGUGAUGGGGACGAGUGUGGUGAGAAAGGGGCUACCCCUUCAAGGGGCUGGAGCUUGGUAGAUGUAGUGAGGGGGUAGGGCAAUUUCCAGUGUGGCUGGGGAUUAGCAAAGGAGGUUAAUGUCACAGGAGGUUAAUGGAACAUUCUCUGCCCCUCCCCAGACUUUUUCCACUUAGGGAUGUUGUGUCAACAGCCAUGGGAUCUGGCACUAUUUGUGUGGUGACAAGACUGCAUGGGUAAAUACUUCACCUAGCUCAGCAGAGGCCUACGAGUCAGUCCUUCUGUUUGGCGCAAAGCCAGGAGAGGCCCUUCGUCUUUCACCACUGUCAGGCCCUUUGCUAUUUAUUCUUGAUAUUUCUUUUUGUCUUCCACAGAGAACAGCAAAGAGAUGUGGGAAUUGGGUUAUUAGUUUAUGUACUCUGCAGACUUUUCUGAAAGUAUCUCUAGCUCCUGCUAUUUGCCUCACCAGGUGUGGCCUCCCUGCCUUUUCAAGGAUCAGAUACUCCACCCUGUCUGUAUCUGUGUUCCUGGUCUCCCAGCCUCUGCCUCCUUCCAUCUCCUGAUCAGGCCUCCUAGGGUAGACCAUUCCCCUUGUUCCUGGAUUUUUCAGGCAUUAUCUGUUCCCCUUCUCCCGGUAUUUUUCUCUGCCACCUUGGAUUAUCUCUGUCCUUAUUUCUGAUAGCCAUUAGUUCUUAUCUGCUCAAAGCCAAGGAGGGGAGGGGGGUUGAAAUCUGUCAUGGUACAGUAGUAGGAGGAGACUUUUUGUUAUUUUUUUCCUCAGUGUCCCUUACCCUUUCCUAACUCUAAGGCCACUGAGGUUUGGAACUGAAAGGCUUUUCACUAUUUCCAUCACACCUGUGCUAUCUCCCAGGAAUUUCCUCAUGGCCUGGUCCCUGGCCCAGGUCCACCCCAUCACCCUGUCCAACAUGAACUGCAGCCAACACACUGGCCAGGGCUGGAUGACCAGUAGGCUAAGUAAUGCCAGGUUAGCCUCAGACCCCAGGGGAGGAAAAACCCAAGAACUCCCUGAGCACAGGUCUCUGAGAUAGGGCUGCAGCUGACUUCCUUGGCUCAGAAGAGCCCCAGUGCCUCAGGCUUCUGCCCUCCAUAACGCCACCUCUUCUGCACUCAGAACUCAAUGACACAAAGUGCUUUGGUCUCUAUGACAGCAUCUGUGAUUCCACAAGGACUGGGGUACUUCAAGUAUUCUGGGUGAUGGGAAGCAGGAAGGACAAGGUAUGAAGAGACCUUAGGUAGCUUCAAAUCAAGCCUGGGGGAGUAAAGCUCUCAGGCCAGCAGCACAGUAGGACACCUGGCAUGUCCUGCUGCUUGAGGUGGCAGCAAGAUGACAUCCUUUGUGUCCCUGCCACUUCACAUACACAUUGUGCCUGUAUCAAGACCUUUAGCCACACAAGGGACACUAUCCUGUUUGUUGGCUAUUUACAGAUCCAUUGUAUACCUGCCUCUCCCUGGUCAACACUAAUGGACAGCUACUGUGCCCACCCCUGCCCCUGCACCAGCUGAGCUGAGUGCCUCUCCUGUGCCUUGGUGGAGCUUCAGCUCACCAGGAGGCACCUGGGGCCCCAUCCUUGUAAUGCUGGUAGAUGUCCUGCAUUUCACUCACUGUGACCUUGGAAGUGUGCAAGGACCCAAACUCCUUGCACACAGCACACUGGCUUCCUAGAAUGCCAGCUAACAAACAGGUCCCUUCCCCAGGAAGUGAAGUGUGGGUGGGGAACUUCUGCCUUUUCCUGUUCACGCUGUCCUGGACCCUAGACUAGAGUGAGAAAAAGAAGUGGGUUUCCUUGUUUCCGUUCCUAUUCUAUUGUGUCCCUUGCUUUCAUUCCUGUUCUGUCCUGUCCCUGACCUGAGGGAAAAUCUCCCUGAAUACCAUCUUGAGCAGGAGCCACACGGUUCCUCUUCUCUCCUAGACCCUCAGCAUUCUCCUUUAGGAAUCCUUGCCUGGAGAGUGAUAUCAUCAAGGUCCUCUGAGGCUCCUCCAUGUGACACCUGCUGGUUUGUCUUGCACAGUAUGUGUCAUCACCCAUCCUAUAAGUGAGUUGGUGGUCCUUGGAUCAGAACUGAGGUGCAAAAACGUCCACUCCCCACUCCCAUCUCAAACCUCUCAGGAUGCAAGGAACAAAGGGUACCCCCACAGGGAGUUUGCACUUCUAUGAUCUGAGCCCUCAGCUGGUCCUGGUAUGGCAUUUGGGGACAAUGGUGGUGAGGAGGAGGCAUUGAGAGCAGUAAGGCAGUAUGAGGGGAUUGCCCCUGAGAAGUGGCCUUUUCUUUAGCAGAGUCUUGGGCAGGUAUGGUCUAUGCACAGGAACCAAUCCAGAAGUUUAGCCAAAAACAUCUCUACCACCCCAAAUUCAGGAAGAAAUGAAACCUCCAGCUCAGAUAAAUCAAUCCUGCCCAAUCCUCAGGCCAUGGCUCCUGGGCCUGAUUACACUUGCCUGAUUACACUUGCCUCACACCCAGGCUUUUUCAGUUGGUUGCCCUAACCUGCGGCCUCCUGCCUGCCCAGGAGCAGUGACUGGUAAAGACGUCCCCACUCUCCUACCCCCAUACAAAGUCUCUGCUCCAGAGUGAAGGCCACCUCUCCUGGAUAUCCCAACUUCAACUCAGGCACCUGGGCCGUGCCACGGUUGACCUCAGGAGUGGGGAUUCUGGGAGCGGCCUGCGGAAGUAGGGAGGGGAGCCGGCCAGAUGGAACCUCUGCAGCCUUAAGAGCCCGAGUGUCGCAGGCCGCCGGGCAGCCACCGGAGCUCAAGCUGUGUGCAGACCCCUCAGACUUCAAGUUGGGAGCUGAGACCCUGGGCAUCAAGACCGGUCGCAGACUGCCAGGUCACUGCUCCUCUUCCCUAGUACCCACCACCUGAGCUCCACCUCUGCUGGAGGUGGCUCAGGGACGAAUACCAGCCGCCUCAGCCCCCUUCCUCCAACCACUUUAUUGCCUUCGGCUGGGAACAAAGCCGGUAAGCAGCCCCAGAGUCCAGGUGCGUUGACUUGCCCCUCGGCCCGCCACUACCGUGGGCUUUCCCGGCAAACCUGAGGCUCUCUGACCACCUGCGGAAGCAAAAGUUACUGCGCCGCCGCUUCCUUGCCCUACGCACCAACCCGCAGCACCUCAAGAGUUAUGAGAGCAAUGGCCCGGCGCAAGAAGUAUUUCGGCGGCCACCGAGAACAGCCCUAGCGCCACGUGAACCCGGCAAGCGCUUGCAAGCCAGCGCCAGCUGAUCGUCCUCUUACACUCGCGACAGCAGCCGGGGCAUGGCGGAGGCCAGCGAUGCGGAGUUGUAGGCGUACUACAGCGCCCUACUCUAGGCGUGCGCCGCCACCUGUGAGCCCCGGGCUGCAGGGGGUCAGGGAGACCGUAGGUUUGGUUUAUUCCUAGCCUGUCUCUCCUCCAGGUCACUGAAAGUUCAAACAUUAAACAUUCACAAGUCUUAA